GUGCUCACUUUGGCAGCACAUAUACUAAAAUUGCAACGAUACAGAGAAGAUUAAUAUGGCCCCUUCGCAAGGAUGACAGGCAAAUUCGUAGAACGAUAGCUAUAAUG